rnacentral:pre_miRNA from 14 species
AUGUGUGUGUGUGUGUGUGUGCCACUGAAUAUUGCAUUAUAUAUGUAUACACACACACACACACACACACACACACACACCAC